UUCAUCGUCCUUAUUAACAGUUGGAUACUAGAUCAUUCUUCUGGAAUUCUUGCAGGGUCAUUCUCCCUCCCCCUUUCAUUGUUGUUCAUAUAUUUAAUUUGCAAUAAAUUUUUUUUUUUUGACUCUCAUAUGCACUUCUCACAGUGCCUCCUCCAUUGCCACCACCUCAGUCAGGAAGGAGUUUCAUUGAUCAAAUUUCACUUUUUUCGAGGGAAGCAAAAGCGAGGGGGUGCCCCUCAUUUCUGUGGUUCCUUGCCUCCUUGUCCAUCCAGGUCCCAUGUUUUCUCUUAGGUGUGACCAGAAUUCGGAAAAUGUCACUGGAGGGUCAUGCAGGGUUUGAUCGUGGUGGGACUUUGUGGUUCCAGAACUUGACUGAAUUCCCUC